CUUCAUGUUUGUUUUUCCAUGUGAACUUUUCCAGUCUUACAGAUGCAGCACGUUGGCUCAUGGAUGGACUGGCUGCGCUUUCCUUCAUCUCUGCCAAACUCUUUCCUGGUACCCAACUUUCAAACAUGCCCACAGCGUGGUUCUCCGUGAU